ACUUUGAGAAGCAAGCAAGCUACAAUGGAGCCCAAAAGCUGAGCAAUGGUGUAAAAGAGGCCAGUAAGAAGUGUAAUUUGGCCGCCGAGAGCCAAUCCGAAGGUGACAGCUGGGUUAACAUGUCCACCAGAAAUGUUAGCGCCAAUGGCAACGGCCACAAAUAGAGCAAAUCCAUGGCAAACUGCAACAGCUACUAGCCCAGCCGGAUCAAGAGCUGCAUCUGCUGUCAACUUAUCUGCAAUUUAUACCAAAAGAUUACUAAUUUUAAAAUCUUAUUACAUUUCCAUUGUGAAAAAACAAAUUAAAUACCAUGUAAAGAUUGUUGCAUGGGCACGAACAUUUUCCAUGUUUAUCAAACGCAUUAUUAAAGUUAGUGGAUUUAGAACGAGUAUAGUUGUAUUAUGUGUAUAAUACAUUUUGAAUAGUUCGAGUUGAAAGUAAUAAAAUUUGUUGAAAUUAUAGAACUCGCCCUAAAUUUGUCUCUGGCGGUAACACCAGCCAGUGUAUUUAACUACGAAAAUGUAAGUGAAAAGUUAAAAUGUAGAAAAGGAUUGGAGGAGUUAUUAACUGUAAGCAAUGGCAGAACCAACUCCGGCGAAGACAAAGAGUAAGGUUGAGAUGAAUUCAGCAAGAUAGGCCUUAAGAGACCCAACGCUAAAUGAAUCAUCUAUACGUCCAAAAGCUAUGCAAGGCAUUUUCACAAUUAAAAUAAUUUAAUUACUUCUAAUUAGAAGCUAAAGGAGAAGGGACGA
rnacentral:lncRNA from 1 species